rnacentral:rRNA from 1 species
UUUUUCAGUCUGAAUCCUAAUCUGCUUUAAUUGUAACACAUUAGUUAGUACUGAUUAGUACUUGGAUGGGAGACCUCCUGGGAAUACCGGGUGCUGUAGGCU